GUGUCAGCCGCCGCGGUAAUACGUAGGUGGCAAGCGUUGUCCGGAAUUACUGGGCGUAAAGGGCGUGUAGGCGGUCUUUUAAGUCAGGCGUGAAAGCCCUGGGCUCAACCCAGGAACUGCGUUUGAAACUGGAAGACUUGAGGAUCGGAGAGGGCAGUGGAAUUCCCAGUGUAGCGGUGAAAUGCGUAGAUAUUGGGAGGAACACCAGUGGCGAAGGCGACUGCCUGGACGACACCUGACGCUGAGGCGCGAAAGCUAGGGGAGCAAACGGGAUUAGAUACCCGCGUAGUCC
rnacentral:rRNA from 1 species